rnacentral:rRNA from 1 species
UCAGUACACCGCCGAAGUUGUGGCAUUCAGAUAUUAGCUAAGCCCUUGUGGUUCAGGCGUCUGGAUGGGUAGGGGAGCGUCGUGUGGGCGGUGAAGUCGCGGUGUAAACCAGCGGUGGAGCCUACACGAGUGAGAAUGCAGGCAUGAGUAGCGAAAGACGGGUGAGAAACCCGUCCGCCGAAUGAUCAAGGGUUCCAGGGUCAAGCUAAUCUGCCCUGGGUAAGUCGGGACCUAAGGCGAGGCCGACAGGCGUAGUCGAUGGACAACGGGUUGAUAUUCCCGUACCGGCGAAAAACCGCCCAUGCUGAACAGGGGAUACUAACUGCCCGAGACCUGCCCGAUCGCCCUUGUGGUGUGAGGGUUUUGGUGGAGCGCAGGACCUGAUCCUGGGAGGCAAGCGUAUUAACAGGUGUGACGCAGGAAGGUAGCCAAGCCGGGCGAUGGUUGUCCCGGUCUAAGGAUGUAGGGCGAACGGUAGGCAAAUCCGCUGUUCAUGAUGCCUGAGAUCUGAUGGGACCCCCGUUUGGGGGGAUUUGGUGAUCCUAUGCUGCCGAGAAAAGCAUCGACGCGAGGUUUUAGCCGCCCGUACCCCCAAACCGACACAGGUGAUCAGGUAGAGAAUACUAAGGCGAUCGAGAGAAUUAUGGUUAAGGAACUCGGCAAAAUGCCCCCGUAACUUCGGGAGAAGGGGGGCCCCAACCUUGAUACACCCUUGCGGUGUGGAGGGGAUCGGGGCCGCAGAGACCAGGGGGAAGCGACUGUUUACUAAAAACACAGGUCCGUGCGAAGUCGCAAGACGAUGUAUACGGACUGACUCCUGCCCGGUGCUGGAAGGUUAAGAGGACCGGUUAGCCGCAAGGCGAAGCUGAGAAUUUAAGCCCCAGUAAACGGCGGUGGUAACUAUAACCAUCCUAAGGUAGCGAAAUUCCUUGUCGGGUAAGUUCCGACCUGCACGAAUGGAGUAACGACUUCCCCGCUGUCUCAACCAUUAACUCGGCGAAAUUGCAGUACGAGUAAAGAUGCUCGUUACGCGCAGCAGGACGGAAAGACCCCGAGACCUUUACUAUAGUUUGGUAUUGGUGUUCGGAGUGGCUUGUGUAGGAUAGGUGGGAGACGUUGAAGCCCGGACGCCAGUUCGGGUGGAGUCAUCGUUGAAAUACCACUCUGGUCACUUUGGACAUCUAACUUCGGCCCGUAAUCCGGGUCAGGGACAGUGCCUGAUGGGUAGUUUAACUGGGGCGGUUGCCUCCUAAAAAGUAACGGAGGCGCCCAAAGGUUCCCUCAGCCUGGUUGGCAAUCAGGUGUCGAGUGUAAGUGCACAAGGGAGCUUGACUGUGAGAGAGACAUCUCGAGCAGGGACGAAAGUCGGGACUAGUGAUCCGGCGGUACAUUGUGGAAUGGCCGUCGCUCAACGGAU